AACAUUGGGAUUUGAGUAUUUACGAUCAAUCCCACCAAAUCAUGAAGCACAUGGCUUGACGAAGGGCCUUACCAUUAUUUAUGUAGUGAUCACAAUCAACAUUCAGUAGGUAAGGAGCAUUUUGUUAUGAGCAUUUGUCAUUAUUGCUGAGACUCGCACCUUCACAGUCAACAAACAAAGCAACAGCAAAAAUGUUAAAAGGAAAAUGGAGAAAGAAGAAAACUUCCAAAGCUUUCAGUUUUAUGAUGAGAAAAGGGAAGUCGAGGAUGAUCUCCGACAUUGUUCCAAGGCCACGGAGUACCAUCUUGCAUUGUCCAACCAUCCUCAGGAACCUUCUGCGCCAUUGCCACCAAUGGAUUAAUCCUCACUUUGAACUCUUCAUACUCCUUGGCUAUUCUGAAAUUAAAUAACGUAGAUGUU